rfam:Neospora caninum Liverpool complete genome, chromosome VIIb
CAUUAGGCUUCACUAGAAGCCACCUUUACAUUAAACCCCAGAACA